UGUGGCCAGAUGUCCUAUUCAAGAGAGCCACUCUGACCCGUGGGUGUGUGAUGCUGGGCUUCACAGAGCAAGAUGCAGGAAUGAGGAAGCCACUGGGGAAGAAGAUAUAGAAGAGCAACUAAGGUGACGGGAGAUGAGACUUACGUGGAAGGGACAAGAAAAGAAAAGUGAUAGAUUAGAGGAAACAUGAAGGGUGGGCCAUGAGCUCUUAUCAAGUUAAAACCAAAGCCAGAAACAUCAACUCACUUUGGCAACCUGGAGAUCAAGACGGCUCUUGGACAGAGUCCCCAGCCAACCAGGAGACAGAUAAGAGACCCAUGGAAGUCCAGGGCUGACUGCCCAGAGAUGGCAUCUCCACAGUGGACGGGCCCUUCCACAUCAAUCAUUAAUCAAGAAAACGCCUACAGACUUCCAUCUACACGCCAAUCUUAUGGAAAAAUAUUCUCAAGUA
rnacentral:lncRNA from 1 species